GGAGCUUGCUCCCGGAUGUUAGCGGCGGACGGGUGAGUAACACGUGGGUAACCUGCCUGUAAGACUGGGAUAACUCCGGGAAACCGGAGCUAAUACCGGAUAGUUCCUUGAACCGCAUGGUUCAAGGAUGAAAGACGGUUUCGGCUGUCACUUACAGAUGGACCCGCGGCGCAUUAGCUAGUUGGUGGGGUAAUGGCUCACCAAGGCGACGAUGCGUAGCCGACCUGAGAGGGUGAUCGGCCACACUGGGACUGAGACACGGCCCAGACUCCUACGGGAGGCAGCAGUAGGGAAUCUUCCGCAAUGGACGAAAGUCUGACGGAGCAACGCCGCGUGAGUGAUGAAGGUUUUCGGAUCGUAAAGCUCUGUUGUUAGGGAAGAACAAGUGCGAGAGUAACUGCUCGCACCUUGACGGUACCUAACCAGAAAGCCACGGCUAACUACGUGCCAGCAGCCGCGGUAAUACGUAGGUGGCAAGCGUUGUCCGGAAUUAUUGGGCGUAAAGGGCUCGCAGGCGGUUUCUUAAGUCUGAUGUGAAAGCCCCCGGCUCAACCGGGGAGGGUCAUUGGAAACUGGGAAACUUGAGUGCAGAAGAGGAGAGUGGAAUUCCACGUGUAGCGGUGAAAUGCGUAGAGAUGUGGAGGAACACCAGUGGCGAAGGCGACUCUCUGGUCUGUAACUGACGCUGAGGAGCGAAAGCGUGGGGAGCGAACAGGAUUAGAUACCCUGGUAGUCCACGCCGUAAACGAUGAGUGCUAAGUGUUAGGGGGUUUCCGCCCCUUAGUGCUGCAGCUAACGCAUUAAGCACUCCGCCUGGGGAGUACGGUCGCAAGACUGAAACUCAAAGGAAUUGACGGGGCCCGCACAA
rnacentral:rRNA from 1 species